AAGGUUUUAAGUUAAAUAAACUAUUAGCCUUCAAAGCUGAAAAUAAAUAAAAUUAGUUUAAGCCUUA
rnacentral:tRNA from 1 species